rnacentral:misc_RNA from 1 species
AAUCAUCGCGUCCCGGAUUUGCGUCUGGGGCUCGGAGUUGGGGGCUUGCUGCGGUGACGCGGCUCCCCUCGAAUGCAUCGGUCGCGCGCCGCGCGGGCCUUCCCUUGGACGUUGUAUCAACCCUCGUCCUGUCAACGGGAUCCCGCCGACCGACCUCGGCCUCCUCUGGAGCGGUGGCCAGCACACUUUGAA